UGAUGAGUAUCAGAAUGUGCAGCUUUCGAGAAGAUGACUUGAGUGUGUUCCUGAACAGCCAGGCCCUAUUGCACCGAGAAUUGAUUUGCACAGACGCUGUUUCAAAGAGGAAUUGUCCACACAGGAAGACUUUACAAAAUGGAAGUCUUGUGGCAUUGCAGGACCCAGACUUGAGGUGGUCAUUGAUCGCAGACUUGCGAACGUGAUUCAGAACCACAUUGCAGGAAGUACAGAAGAGUUUUCCUCCAUCUUCGUGCAGCUCACUGCCAAACUCAGUUACGCGAUCCUGAGGAGUGACAUACAAA